rnacentral:misc_RNA from 1 species
GCUCCGUAGGUGAACCUGCGGAGGGAUCAUUACAGAGUUCAUGCCCUACCGGGUAGAUCUCCCACCCUAUGUUAUUAUUACUUUGUUGCUUUGGCGGGCCGUUAGGCUCCGGCCCGACUACCGGCCCCGGCUGGUAAGCGCCCGCCAGAGGACCCAAAACCCUGAAUAUUAGUGUCGUCUGAGUACUAUAUAAUAGUUAAAACUUCCAACAACGGAUCUCUUGGUUCUG